ACGCCCCCUGAUGGCGUCGCUGUGGAAACCAAGGCAAGCGACGGUUAGGCCAGACGCGGGGGCGCGGUAAGAAGUUGAGUGACAGGCAAGGCAGCAUCCGCAUGACAGGCGGCGCCGACGGGGUGAAUUCUGAGAUCCUGUCCCUGAGCCUUCAUGAGCUGUUGAACCAUCUGGAAUUCACAGGCCUGUCAUGAGAGACACGAUGAGAAGUCCUUAAAGGUAGAUCGCUGAUUCACAGGGGAGCAGGCAGAGGCAAGGGCACCAAAUCAUCCUCGUGCACCUACUAUGCUGCGUGUCAACCGGAACAUACAAAUAAUUUCCACCCCCUCCUCACCCAUAAGAAGCUGGCAGAAAGGCAGGAUCCAGCCUCCAAAGUAGAAUUCCUCUUUGUUUUUGAGGGGUGUUGCAGGCUCGAGGAACCCCUUGUUUGCCCAUCUGGCUUCCGGUAACCAGGCUGUGAGCAGAAAUGAAACCCACCCUUGGAAUGAAGACUGGCCACUUUGUUCAAGCCACUGAGGACACUGUACUGUGGCCCCCUGACAGUGCCUGUCUGUAGGGACAGCUAGAUCCUGCUGGUCCCUUCACAGUCCCAGCAGUGGCUGAUUCACAAUGGUGACUGGUAGAUCUGUUGGGUCCUUGCUGAGCUGAUGGCAACUAGCUCCUUUAUUAAGGUAAUUUCCAAGGGAGAAACUGCAAGAGAUGGCCUAAGCUGUGGCAGCUUCCAAGGAUGAGCUUCUUGGACCUCAGGUUUGGGGGAACCCGAGACCAUUUGAAUGCCAGAGAUGUGAUGUGUUUGGUAACGUCGUGUCUCACAAGCUCCUUUUGUAUUUCCCAUGGGCAGGUCAGGUCGGAUCUUGACUUUUUCCAGAAACUGGCUUGGCUGGUUUGGGGUGUGUGUGAAUGAGCUGGCUUGCCGGGUGUAUGAGAGGAGGUGAAGCUGGGACUAGACAAGCCAGGGCUCAUUAGCAAGUUUCUGCUGUGUCAGGAAUCUCGGAGAGAGGUUUCCCAAGCCCUAUCCUGUCUUGCCUGGGUUUUUUCCUUUUUUUUUUUUUCAUUGAAGUGUAAUUGACAUGUAGUAAAAUUCACCCAUUUUAGUGUACAGCUCUGGACACAUACAGUCAUGCAACCACCACUACAAUCAAGAUACAGAGCAUUUACACCAACCCAAAAAAUUCUCCAAACUACUCCAUUUGUUGCAGGUCCCAGCCCCUGGCAAGCAUUCAUCUGCUUUCUGUCCUGAUACUUUUGCCUUUUCCAGAAGGUUGAGUGAAAUGGAAUCACACAGCCUUUUGAGCCUGGCUUCUUUCACCCACAUAAUGCAUAUGAUGUUCGUCUGUAAUGUUGUUUUUUUGUAUCCGUAGCUUGUUCCUUGUUAUAGCUGAAUAGUAUUCCAUUGUGUGGAUGGAUCCCAUUUGUUUAUCCAUUCAUCCAUUGAAGGACAGUUAGGGUUUAACUGCUGUUGGUAAUAACUAAUAAAGCCUCAGCAAACAUUCGCUCAUGAGACUCCAUCUCAAAAAAAAAAAAAAAAAAGUAGAUUUUACCCUGCUGGUGUUGCUAUGUGGAUGAA